CAGGACGCACACGCCUCCCGUAAGCCCUGUGAACGCACCCGAACCCGUUGCCUCGGCGGACGUCCCCCCCCCCCCACCAGGGGGGGGCGGACACCGCCGGCGGCCCCCUACCCUGGCAGCACGUUGGCAUCUCGGAGCAGACAGCAACGAAUCA
rnacentral:misc_RNA from 1 species